GGCAGCGUGGCAUAGUGGUUUGAGCCGUGGACUAUGACUCUGGAGACCAGGAUUCCAUUCCCUGCUCAGCCA